ensembl:lncRNA
ACCUCUUAGAAAACUCUGUGCUUCAUACUGGGGCUAUUAUAUGUCUGUUCUAUGUCAAAUAAUGUGUUAGAUAAACGCCAGUCUUCAAUGAAAAUGAAUAGCACAGAUCUAUUUACUUAGCAUUAGCAUAGGUUAUUUCAGAGAUAUUUGCCUCCAGGAAAACCAAAAAAAGCCGUAAAAACAGCAUGAAGGCAGGAAAUUUAAAAAAAGUUCUGACAGAAGAAUGCUGAAACCUAGAUACAGAAUCUCCUACUUUCCUCAUCAGUGUUCCUGAUAAAAACAUUUUUGUGGUGGUGGGAAUGUUCACCAGGAAACUCGGUGAAGCCAAGAGAACUGGCCAUUGUUCCUGAGCUUAUUAAGAAGCCCCAAGACAGAGCUGGCUACAGGAAAGCUGCGGGGCGGGGGGUGGUGGGGGGGAGUAUUUCUCUAAGUUUAAGGAGAAAACCAGGGUUAGAUUGUGUAUUCGUUUUGCAUCACUGCAUAACAAAAUACCAUAAACACAGUGGCUUAAAACAACCCACAUUUAUUAUUUCCCAGUUUCUGUACGUCAGGAGUCCAAGUACUACCUAGCUAAGUUCUCUUCUCAGCGUCUCAUUAGGUUGCAUAGGUGCCAGCUGGAGCUUCAGUCUCAUCUGGAACUUGGAGUCCUAUUCCGGACUCCUGUAAAUUGUUGGCAGAAUUCAGGACUUUCUGGCUGUAGGACUGAGGCUCUUAGCUUCUUAGUGGCUGUCAGCUGGAGACUGCCUUCAGUUUCUCGAGGCCUCCAACAGUUUCCUGCCACAUGGCCCUCUCCACGGGCAGUUUGCAACACCACUGCUUGCACCUUCAAGGCCUGCAGGAGAGUGUUUCUCUCCAGUCUGCUAAGAUGGAAUCUUAUGCAAGCAGGUCAUAAAACCUAGGAUGGAUUUUCUGACCUUACCCUGAAGCAGUUCAUAAGACUCUCAGAUGAAUGAUGCCUGCAUUAUACCCAGAGGAAAGGAGCAUCCUUAUCUCUGAAGAUACAGGGACCCAGAAAAGAAUCUGAACAAACAGGCCUUCCUUGGUUUCCCCCAAUUUAUUAUAUUUCUCUCACUCCCCCGCUGCCCUUUGUUGUAUCGUAUUUCUUCAUGACUCUCAUUCUUCAUCAAAUCUACUAUAAAAACACUCAGGUUUAACUCUUUCUUCAGAUAUUUAUUUCCUUAUGAAGGCUCCUGUGUCACAUCAAACUUAUAUUAAAGAAAUCUGUAUGCUUUUCUCGUGUUAAUCUGUUUUUUGUUUUGUUUUGUUUCGUUUUUGUUUUUUGGUUUCAGGGGCCCCAUCUAUGAACCUAAGAUGGGUAGAAUGAAAGGUAUUUUCCUCCUCUACAUAGAUCAACUACCUAGCCACUAAAAUUAAUUUUGAGCCAGAUGCAGCAAAAUAAGUAAAUAAAUGAAAGAAUUAGCCUAUGUAACUUUAUCCUUGAUCAUGCAGGAUAAAAUAAUGUUCGUCUUGUAUAAUUUCUUAUGGAAAUAAGAUGCUUCUUUAUUUGGCAUGAUUAGCAAAUGUGUGCUACUUUUUCAAGAAUUCUGGCAUGUCACACAUGGAGUAGUAAUUUUCAAAACUUAUAACCUAAUAAAAUAUGAAUGACUAAAACAGUAAAAUAAAAUUUAUUCUUUUAAGAAUCAGAAGGUACAUGUCAUUGUAAUAAGCAUGAUGAACUGUAGCUACUAAUGGAAAGUUUAGAUGAAUGAAGGCUAGAUAAAAAUGACUUUUCAGAAAACAAGUACUCCCCACAAUUACUCAGGUUGGAAGGUAUUCAUUUUUACCCAUUUUUUUUUUUCAUGGAAGUUAAAAGUCCUAUAGUCAGAAUAGCCAGCCAUGAGAUACAGAGAAACUUGAAUUUCUAAGAUAAAUGAUGGGAUGAAUCCAUAUCAAGAUAUAAGUGCUCCAAUAUUUUUUAAAGUUUUAAAUAUUUACUGACCAAUUCAAAUCCAUUUGCUAAAAGUCCUUCCUCCUUAUCCUGUGUCAGCUAAAGGCUUUAAUCACUUAAUGGACACUAUUUUUGGUUUUACAAAGAGAUAACAUCUUUAAGGCAUGUGGUGAAAUUCUGGACUAGACUGGAAACACUCACAUGAGCUUUAGAAAUUUUACUUGGAUAUUGCCUUAGUCUGUUUUCUGCUGCGCUAACUGAAUAUCUAAGACUGAGUCGUUUCUUUUUUAAUAAAAGAAAAUGAUUUUGGACGGUUGUGGAGGCUGGGAGGACAAAAGGCAUGGUGGCAGUUUCUGGCAAAGGCUUUUAUAUUGCAUCACAACGUGGUGGAAAAGUGAAAGGGCAAGCAAAUGCGUGUGAAGGAGACAAAACACGAGGGCAGGCUCACUUUACAACAAUGCACUCUUAUGGUAACAAUCCCAUCCUGAGAGAGUAAGAACCCAUCCCUCAAGAGUUAACCCAGUCCCAUGAGAGCGAUAUUUAUCCCUCUUAAUGACUUAAUCACCUCUUAAAGGCCCCACCUCUUACUACUAUUACAUUAGGGAUUAAAUUUCAACAUGAAUUUUGGAGGGAACAGUCACACCAUAGCAGAUAUGCAUAUGAUAAAUAGUGGCACAUUAAAAUUAUGAAGAAACUACAGCCAUGACUGAGCAAUGCUUUUUAUGUAAUAUAGUCAGGAAAAAUAAAAAUAUUCAUGGCUAC